CAAAAUGCGAUACUUGGUGUGAAUUGCAGAAUCCCGUGAACCAUCGAGUUUUUGAACGCAAGUUGCGCCCGAAGCCAUUUGGUCGAGGGCACGUCUGCCUGGGCGUCACGC
rnacentral:rRNA from 1 species